UACGUAGGGUGCAAGCGUUAAUCGGAAUUACUGGGCGUAAAGCGUGCGCAGGCGGUUUUGUAAGUCUGUCGUGAAAUACCCGGGCUCAACCUGGGAAUUGCAUUUGAGACUGCGUAGCUAGGGUGCGGAAGAGGGAAGCGGAAUUUCCGGUGUAGCGGUGAAAUGCGUAGAUAUCGGAAGGAACACCAGUGGCGAAAGCGGCUUCCUGGUCCAGCACCGACGUCAGGCACGAAAGCCGUGGGGAGCAAACAGG
rnacentral:rRNA from 1 species